rnacentral:lncRNA from 1 species
AUCAAUUGAUCGUAUUGUUGUCUGCUCAACCCUGGUAUCACAGAACUGUGGCCAUCUAUGUUUGUACCAUGGUGAUGGCUGGCAGGAGGAUCCCCAAGAGGAAUAGACAUAUUAGGAUUCCCAUGAUUAACAGACACACUUUCCUCACCAGUGGAGAAAUGAGCAGCAGCAGAUUUCCUUCCCUUGUAGUAUUUGAUAUUUUGAGGAAACCCAUGAAUCUUAUAGCACUUAUCAAUUAAGUGCCCAGAUUU